rnacentral:rRNA from 1 species
GAUGAACGCUGGCGGCGUGCCUAAUACAUGCAAGUCGAGCGAACAGACGAGGAGCUUGCUCCUCUGACGUUAGCGGCGGACGGGUGAGUAACACGUGGAUAACCUACCUAUAAGACUGGGAUAACUUCGGGAAACCGGAGCUAAUACCGGAUAAUAUAUUGAACCGCAUGGUUCAAUAGUGAAAGACGGUUUUGCUGUCACUUAUAGAUGGAUCCGCGCCGCAUUAGCUAGUUGGUAAGGUAACGGCUUACCAAGGCAACGAUGCGUAGCCGACCCGAGAGGGUGAUCGGCCACACUGGAACUGAGACACGGUCCAGACUCCUACGGGAGGCAGCAGUAGGGAAUCUUCCGCAAUGGGCGAAAGCCUGACGGAGCAACGCCGCGUGAAUGAUGAAGGUCUUCGGAUCGUAAAACUCUGUUAUUAGGGAAGAACAAAUGUGUAAGUAACUAUGCACGUCUUGACGGUACCUAAUCAGAAAGCCACGGCUAACUACGUG